rnacentral:rRNA from 1 species
CGUACGGGAGGCAGCAGAGGAAUAUUGGUCAAUGGAGGCAACUUUGAACCAGCCAUGCCGCGUGCAGGAAGUCAUCCGUGUGGGUGGUAAAAUGGUUUUAUUCGGGAAUAAACGUAUUUACGUGUAAGUAGCCGAAUGUACGGAAGGAAUAAGGAUCGGCUAAUUCCGUGCCAGCAGCCGCGGUAAUACGGAGGAUCCAAGCGUUAUCCGGAUUUAUUGGGUUUAAAGGGUGAGUAGGCGGCUUUUUAAGUCAGGGGUGAAAGACGGUGGCUCAACCAUCGCAGUGCCCUUCAUACUGAAGAGCUUGAAUGAACUAGAGGUAGGCGGAAUGUGACAAGUAGCGGUGAAAUGCAUAGAUAUGUCACAGCACACCGAUUGAGAAGGCAGCUUACUAUGGUUAAAUCACGCUGAGGCACGAAAGCGUGGGGAUCAAACAGGAUUAGAUACCCUGGUAGUCCACGCCGUAAACGACGAAUACUCGCUGUUAGCGAUACACAGCUAGCGGAUAACAGAAAGCCUUAAGUAUUCCUCGUGGGGAGUACGGUCGCAAGAUGGAAAUUCAAAGAAUUGACGGGG